GUCGAGCGAACAGAUAAGGAGCUUGCUCCUUUGAAGUUAGCGGCGGACGGGUGAGUAACACGUGGGUAACCUACCUAUAAGACUGGGAUAACUUCGGGAAACCGGAGCUAAUACCGGAUAACAUUUAGAACCGCAUGGUUCUAAAGUGAAAGAUGGUUUUGCUAUCACUUAUAGAUGGACCCGCGCCGUAUUAGCUAGUUGGUAAGGUAACGGCUUACCAAGGCGACGAUACGUAGCCGACCUGAGAGGGUGAUCGGCCACACUGGAACUGAGACACGGUCCAGACUCCUACGGGAGGCAGCAGUAGGGAAUCUUCCGCAAUGGGCGAAAGCCUGACGGAGCAACGCCGCGUGAGUGAUGAAGGGUUUCGGCUCGUAAAACUCUGUUAUUAGGGAAGAACAAAUGUGUAAGUAACUGUGCACAUCUUGACGGUACCUAAUCAGAAAGCCACGGCUAACUACGUGCCAGCAGCCGCGGUAAUACGUAGGUGGCAAGCGUUAUCCGGAAUUAUUGGGCGUAAAGCGCGCGUAGGCGGUUUCUUAAGUCUGAUGUGAAAGCCCACGGCUCAACCGUGGAGGGUCAUUGGAAACUGGGAAACUUGAGUGCAGAAGAGGAAAGUGGAAUUCCAUGUGUAGCGGUGAAAUGCGCAGAGAUAUGGAGGAACACCAGUGGCGAAGGCGACUUUCUGGUCUGUAACUGACGCUGAUGUGCGAAAGCGUGGGGAUCAAACAGGAUUAGAUACCCUGGUAGUCCACGCCGUAAACGAUGAGUGCUAAGUGUUAGGGGGGUUUCCGCCCCUUAGUGCUGCAGCUAACGCAUUAAGCACUCCGCCUGGGGAGUACGACCGCAAGGUUGAAACUCAAAGGAAUUGACGGGGACCCGCACAAGCGGUGGAGCAUGUGGUUUAAUUCGAAGCAACGCGAAGAACCUUACCAAAUCUUGACAUCCUUUGAAAACUCUAGAGAUAGAGCCUUCCCCUUCGGGGGACAAAGUGACAGGUGGUGCAUGGUUGUCGUCAGCUCGUGUCGUGAGAUGUUGGGUUAAGUCCCGCAACGAGCGCAACCCUUAAGCUUAGUUGCCAUCAUUAAGUUGGGCACUCUAGGUUGACUGCCGGUGACAAACCGGAGGAAGGUGGGGAUGACGUCAAAUCAUCAUGCCCCUUAUGAUUUGGGCUACACACGUGCUACAAUGGACAAUACAAAGGGCAGCUAAACCGCGAGGUCAUGCAAAUCCCAUAAAGUUGUUCUCAGUUCGGAUUGUAGUCUGCAACUCGACUACAUGAAGCUGGAAUCGCUAGUAAUCGUAGAUCAGCAUGCUACGGUGAAUACGUUCCCGGGUCUUGUACACACCGCCCGUCACACCACGAGAGUUUGUAACACCCGAAGCCGGUGGAGUAACCAUUUAUGGAGCUAG
rnacentral:rRNA from 1 species